GGGGGCGUACAGGUUUCGACGGGGGUGUGGAGUCAGUAGCAGCGAGUCGUUGUUGCCAAGCAACGUUAAAAGUGGCACCUAAAUAUAAACGCAAACGAAAAUUACGCUUUAGCAGCUUAAUAUAGCUGCUCGUCCUGCCUAGGCUGCCCACGGCUUAGGGCCAGGGCGUCGACCCAGUGGGGAACUGCCUUGGGGGUGUCUCGACCCACAGGCGGAUCUAUCGGGACUGGUUGAUGGCAAAGCCUGUCAUUGGGCGUUGCCGGAGACGAGAUAUCCGUACAAUGACUGCACUCGGAGAAGCUGCUGGCAAAGUGCUUUCGGACAGGGGUUCGAUUCCCCUCGCCUCCACCA
rnacentral:tmRNA from 1 species